rnacentral:rRNA from 1 species
AGAAUGAACGCUGGCGGCGUGCUUAACACAUGCAAGUCGAACGGAAUCCAAGGAGCUUGCUCCGAAAGAUUUAGUGGCGAACGGGUGAGUAACACGUGAGCAACCUGCCCCGAAGACCGGGAUAACAGCGGGAAACCGCUGCUAAUACCGGAUGUCCCCACCCUGCCGCAUGACAGGAUGAGGAAAGGAUUCUGCUUCGGGAGGGGCUCGCGGCCUAUCAGCUUGUUGGCGGGGUAACGGCCCACCAAGGCAACGACGGGUAGCUGGUCUGAGAGGACGAUCAGCCACACUGGGACUGAGACACGGCCCAGACUCCUACGGGAGGCAGCAGUGGGGAAUCUUGCGCAAUGGGCGAAAGCCUGACGCAGCAACGCCGCGUGAGGGAUGACGGCCUUCGGGUUGUAACCUCUUUCAAGCAGGGACGAUUGUGACGGUACCUGCAGAAGAAGCUCCGGCCAACUACGCGCCAGCAGCCGCGGU